AUUGAACGCUGGCGGCAGGCCUAACACAUGCAAGUCGAACGAGUGGCGGACGGGUGAGUAAUGUCUGGGAAAGUGCCUGAUAGAGGGGGAUAACUACUGGAAACGGUAGCUAAUAACGCAUACCAUCGGAUGUGCCCACAUGGGAUUAGCUAGUAGGUGGGGGAAAGGCGCACCUAGGCGACGAUCCCUAGCUGGUCUGAGAGGAUGACCAGCCACACGGGAACUGAGACACGGCCCAGACUCCUACGGGAGGCAGCAGUGGGGAAUAUUGCACAAUGGGGGAAAGCCUGAUGCAGCCAUGCCGCGUGUAUGAAGAAGGCCUUCGGGUUGUAAAGUACUUUCAGCGGGGAGGCGUUACCCGCAGAAGAAGCACCGGCUAACUCCGUGCCAGCAGCCGCGGUAAUAC
rnacentral:rRNA from 1 species